AACGCACAUUGCGCCCGGUGGUAUUCCACCGGGCAUGCCUGUUCGAGCGUCAUUUCAACCCUCAAAGCCUAGCUUUGGUGUUGGAGGAAGACCUGUAAAAAGGUCCCCUCCCAAAUUUAGUGGCGGGCUCGCUAGAAUUUUGAGCGUAGUAAUUCAACAACGUUUUUAAAUACUAGUGGGACUUCUAGCCGUAAAACCCCCCAACUUUCUGAAAAUUGACCUCGGAUCAGGUAGGAAUACCCGCUGAACUUAA
rnacentral:misc_RNA from 1 species